rnacentral:rRNA from 1 species
GACGAACGCUGGCGGCGUGCUUAACACAUGCAAGUCGAACGAAGAGCGAUGGAAGCUUGCUUCUAUCAAUCUUAGUGGCGAACGGGUGAGUAACGCGUAAUCAACCUGCCCUUCAGAGGGGGACAACAGUUGGAAACGACUGCUAAUACCGCAUACGAUCUAAUCUCGGCAUCGAGGAUAGAUGAAAGGUGGCCUCUACAUGUAAGCUAUCACUGAAGGAGGGGAUUGCGUCUGAUUAGCUAGUUGGAGGGGUAACGGCCCACCAAGGCGAUGAUCAGUAGCCGGUCUGAGAGGAUGAACGGCCACAUUGGGACUGAGACACGGCCCAGACUCCUACGGGAGGCAGCAGUGGGGAAUCUUCCGCAAUGGACGAAAGUCCGACGGAGCAACGCCGCGUGAGUGAUGACGGCCUUCGGGUUGUAAAGCUCUGUUAAUCGGGACGAAAGGCCUUCUUGCGAAUAGUGAGAAGGAUUGACGGUACCGGAAGAGAAAGCCACGGCUAACUACGUG